rnacentral:rRNA from 1 species
GUGUCAGCAGCCGCGGUAAUACGUAGGGUGCGAGCGUUGUCCGGAAUUAUUGGGCGUAAAGAGCUCGUAGGCGGUUUGUCGCGUCGGCCGUGAAAACUUGGGGCUUAACCCCGAGCCUGCGGUCGAUACGGGCAGACUUGAGUUCGGCAGGGGAGACUGGAAUUCCUGGUGUAGCGGUGAAAUGCGCAGAUAUCAGGAGGAACACCGGUGGCGAAGGCGGGUCUCUGGGCCGAUACUGACGCUGAGGAGCGAAAGCGUGGGGAGCGAACAGGAUUAGAUACCCCGGUAGUCC